CUGGAUGGAGCAACAAGAGUCUGGGCUAUUAACACAGGUUUGAGUCAGGCUGACCGGAGCUGUAAAGCCCUUCUCGUUCUCACUGUGUGUUCUUUUCAGUUCUGUCUUCCUGAGGCUGCUGUUUCUGGGCAUGGCCAGGGGAUCUUCAGACUUUACAAACCAGUUGUGCAGAGCCAGGCAUUUCAAUAAGGAACAAAAUGCUGAGUAACAACAUGAAGUCAGAGUGUUGCUUGCCAAGAGCUGGGAGGCCUGGGUGGUUUCCCAAUCUUAAAGAAGCAGAAGGAUAUUAAAGUGAGCCUCCCAAAGGAAAACGUGGAUCUACUUACCAACGCAGAAAAUGAUACACACGGAUUCGAUUUAGGCACGCUACAUUCAAAUGACUUGGAAGAGCAGUUUCUCUGAGCCAGGAUACUAAAGUCCGUGUUUAGGAAAGAGCCACAUUGUAUGUUUACCCUACCACAAAGAUACAGUCAUGUGCCUGGGAAAGAUUGAUGCCAGCUCCAGAAAGGCAUCUGAAUGGUCUAAGUAAUGCCAUCCAUCUGUCAGUAAUAGAUUCAGAAAUGGGUAUGUGAUUCAAGUCUGGCCAAUGAGAUGUAUGCAGAAGAGUGCUGGGUAUUCUGGAAAAUUAUCCCUUGUCAUUCAGAGAUCCACAGGAAUCCAGCCUUUUGCUCCUUGAAUGGGAUAAGGAAGCACAUAAUCCCAGUUGCUCUUCCAGUCAUCCCAGACCCACAGCCCUGCUUUAGCCAUCCUAUAGCCAUCAUAUAUUCACAAGGGGAGAGCAACUGAGGACAACACUGUGGAACCUUGUGACAUAACCAAGCCAGUGAACCAAUCAAUACAUUUAUUUAUUGUUUGAG
rnacentral:lncRNA from 1 species